CUUUACUAUAACUUUGCAGUGGUAAUAAGGAGUGGAUGUGUAGGAUAGGCGGGAGCCUUUGAAGUGCCGGCGCCAGCCGGCAUGGAGGCAACCUUGAAAUACCGCCCUUCUGUUCCUCGUUAUCUAACCGUGGCCCGUUAUCCGGGUCCGGGACCCUGCAUGGUGGGUAGUUUGACUGGGGCGGUCGCCUCCCAAAAGGUAACGGAGGCGCGCGAUGGUAGGCUCAAGCUGGUCGGAAAUCAGCUGUUGAGUGCAAUGGCAUAAGCCUGCCUGACUGCGAGACGGACAUGUCGAGCAGAGACGAAAGUCGGUCAUAGUGAUCCGGUGGUUCUGUGUGGAAGGGCCAUCGCUCAACGGAUAAAAGGUA
rnacentral:rRNA from 1 species